GCCUGGGUGGCUCAGUCAGUUAAGUGUCUGACUUCGACUCAGAUCAUUAUCUCAAUGCUUGGUUCGUGGGUUCGAGCCCCGCGUUGGGCU
rnacentral:tRNA from 1 species